CUUGUUAAAAUGGUCUUCAUUCAGCCUUCUUUGUGUUAUAUUCAGUUCUUCUCUCAUUUGUUGCAGUUCUGCUCCACAGAGGAGUGUUCCUUGUGAAUGUGUCUGGUAGUUUGUUCAAUCUGUUGCAGUUUGUUCCAGAUAGAGUGCAUAGUGUAGCCUUUGUGUUGUUGCCUCCAAACUUCUGCUUCUCUGUAGUCCUCUUGUUGCAUAACUGUGGUGAGUAAUAUGUAUGGUC
rnacentral:lncRNA from 1 species